rnacentral:lncRNA from 1 species
UUCUUCUUCUAGGAUUGGGUCCAUCAUGGCAUAAAGCCCACUUUGCUUUUUGAUUUGGUCAAACUUGGUCAAAGUUUGAUCUUCUUUUCUAUUCACACCAGCCCAUACACUAGAACACUUAUAAUAAUAAUUUUUACACUCAAACAUAAACAUGUUAAGUCGAACCAAGAAAAUAAAAGCUACGCAAAAUAUUAUUUUUAUAGAGAAAAACACUUAAUUGACUCAAUAAACCAAAAAUUACAAUUUAUUUAAAAUGACUCUAAAUUAAAUAUUAAACUAAUAAAAUGAUAUUAAAAACUUAAUUAAAA